UACAGAGGGGGCAAGCGUUGUUCGGAAUUACUGGGCGUAAAGGGCGCGUAGGCGGCCUUCUAAGUCGAACGUGAAAUCCCUGGGCUCAACCCAGGAACUGCGUCCGAUACUGGAAGGCUUGAAUCCGGGAGAGGGAUGCGGAAUUCCAGGUGUAGCGGUGAAAUGCGUAGAUAUCAGGAAGAACACCCGUGGCGAAAGCGGCUCUCUGGAACGGUACUGACGCUGAGACGCGAAAGCGUGGGGAGCGAACAGG
rnacentral:rRNA from 1 species